rnacentral:lncRNA from 1 species
GACAUUGGUGAGAGCAGAGGAGGAGAUCAGGAGUAAAGAGUUAAGGAGGAGAUUUUGAUUUCAAAAGAUUUAGUUUAGCAAGGUAUCUAAACCUUAAUUCAUCUUUCUCUAUUUAAUAUUAAUGUAAAUUCUGUUUUUUUAAUUGCUUUUAAUGGAGAUACCUUAGUCCUUACUCGCGUGAUCCUUUCUCCUAUUCCUUUUCACUGCUAGUUUUAUAAACAAAUGAACAACUUCACAUAAUAAGAUGGCAGCAUCUACUUUAUUGGUGUGGGAUUUUGUAUUUCACCCAAAUUCAUAUUAUUUAGGGUUAGGGUUCCCGGCUACAAUUUGGGGCUUCUUGAUUGUUGUUGGUAAUUAAAUGAAUGAAAGGUGGGAUUUGUCUUGUUCGGAGGAAGGAUACGCUGUGAGAGAUUGACGGAAGAGAAGGGAGGCCGGAGCCAGCCACGGCGUUGCCGUCGGCAUCGGUUCGCGGCGGUAACAAGGCUGCAGUAGAGAGAGAGAGAGGGGGGGGGGUUGGAUUGGAGAGGAGAGGAAGGUGGCAGCCGUCGGAGAUAUUACCGGCCGGCAGUGGUGGUGUUGGAUUGUGGAGGAAAAGAGCAGAGAUGAGGGAGAAGGGAAGUUUAGUAAUUUAAUUAAAAAAAAAAACGGGUUCUGAUAAAUAAGCUGCUGUGCAUGAAUUUGAUGUUGAAUCGUAAAAUAAAAUUCAUAUUUGGAUUCCUUGUGAAAAAUUAGAUGGAAUGGACUCUAGAAUCACAUGAUUUGGAUGAAAAAUGAGAGAGUAAUGCUUGGUCAAAGUUUGGCCAUGAGUGUUGACUUCGGGGAGAGAGAAAAUGAGAUGGGUGUGUUGGAGAAGAUGAUGACGUGGCAGUUUGUGAUUGGCUAGAAUAUUGAAAAUUGGUAUUUAAUUAAUUUGAGGGAUUAAACGAGGGAAUUAGUAAAAGUGUAAAACAUGAAAGUUUAAGUAAAUAUUAUUUCGGAUUUAAUGGUGGAGCCUAAUGUUGGGUACAAGAGAUAUUAAAUAAAUUUAUUAGUGAAUUUAAGUUAAUAAUUGAAUAAAAAGGGGUUAUUUAGAAUAAUAAGAUUCUGGGGUAAUAACAUGAGUUAGUAACAAAUAUUUUACUUAAAUCAAUAAUAAAUGAGAAACGAUCUAAGUAAAUAUUAAAUGGGGAAUUAUAAGUAGAUUUUACGUGAUCAUCAUUUUAAGACAAGAUUUCUAAAUUUAUUAUUUUGUGACAUAGAAGAUUGAUUAUCUGGAAGACGAGCUUGAUUAUUCAACUUAAAUUGGAACGUGGUGCACUGUAAGUAUAUACUGUACCCUUCACUGUGGAUAUCUUGCGAUGUUUUGAUGAAUAUUUUAUUGAUGAUUUUCUGAUGAGAAAUGAGUAUUCUUGCAUUGAUACCUGAUGAACUGAUGAUGAUGCUUCCUUAUUGGAAGUAAAGCUAAACCAAUUGUUUAGCUGGCCGGGAUCCCAACUUGAUGAAUUGAUGAACUUAUCGUGCUUGAAUACUCAUACUCAUACUCAUCUUGGUGUGUGAAACUGUUUUGAUGACUCUGAUGAAAUAUUGAUUUGCUUCACCAAGUUUUGUGAAUAAAACUCAGUUGAAAUGUACAUAUAUGCUUACUGAGCUUUAUGAGCUCAUUCCUUUGUAUGUACUAACUUUACAGGAAAGAAUUCUGGAGAAGAAUAUUCAGGCAAGGAUAAAAGUGUGAUGAAAUGAAGUGCUAGACUUGGUUGGAUUUGCAAGUAGAAGUUUAGUAGAAGUAUUAUGUAAUCGAAAGAAAUAUUAGUGAACUUUUAGAAGAGUGAUGUAAGACUCUGAUGUAAGGUAAAAUAUGCUUUUAAAUUAUAUCAAGUUUAUGAUUAUA